GGUAAGAUGGCCGAGCGGUCUAAGGCGCCAGACUAAGGAUCAGAGCAUUGGAUGCUCACCAGUAUCGGUACCACAUACCGAUUACGUAAUCUGGUCCUCCGGGGCGAGGGUUCGAAUCCCUCUCUUAUCA